GCCAAAAACUAGCCUAACCUACCCCCCGAACAUUUUUCUCCAUCCCCACCCAAAACAUUUUCUACACUUAGUAUGAGAGACAGAAAAACUUACACCAGAGCAAUAGCCCCCAGUACCGUAAGGGAAUAAUGAAAGAAUAAUAAAAAGCCCAGCAAAAAAAAGCAGCGAUCUCCCCCCGUACCUCUAGCAUCAUGGUUUAGCAAGCAAAAACAGAUAAGGCGACCUAAAACCUGCCCACCCGAACCCAGACGAUCUAUCCUGGGGCACUAUAAGAGUUCCAACCCAUCUCUGUAGCAAAAGAGCGGGAUGACCUCAGGAUAGCGGUGAAACGCCAAUCGAGCCUGGCGAUAGCUGGUUGCUCACUAAACAAAUCUAAGUUUAACUCCAAUACACACCCCACAACAAAUGACUCCUCAUGAUUAUAUUGGAAGCUAUACCACUAAGGCACAACUUAAUGGUAAUCGGAUACAACCGAAAUCAGAAGGCACAAUACAACUACCUACCCUAAGUUGGCCCUAAAGCAGCCACCAAUACUUAACCGCGUCUAAGCGCCCAAAUUAUAAAUAUCACCAAAACAUCAAACCCUCUACCCCAAACUGAGCUACCCCAGACAUCACUGGGGGCAACACUGCUAAAACUAGUAAUAAGAGUACCCUCUCCAAGCACAUCCUUGAAUCGACCAUUGAUAAUCUACCGACCAUUACACACCAACCCAGACCAAGGAACUAACCCCAUUCCCCACAAUGUCAACCCAACACAGGAGUGCAUCAAAGAAAGAUUAAAAGUCAUAAAAGGAAUUCAGCUAAUGUGCCCCACCUGUUUACCAAAAACAUGGCCUUUAGCACCACUAAGUAUUAAAGGUCCCGCCUGCCCAGUGAAUCACCCUUUUAACGGCCGCGGUAUCCUAACCGUGCGAAGGUAGCGUAAUCACUUGUCCCUUAAAUGAGGACUAGUAUGAACGGCUUAAUGAGGGCCCAACUGUCUCCUAUGAUCAAUCAAUGAAACUGAUCCCCCAGUCCAAAAGCUGGGAUACACCCAUAAGACGAGAAGACCCUGUGGAACUUAAAAUCAUAUCACUAAUACAUUCACCAUAGACUAACACCUACAUAGUGACCAUUUUUAGUUGGGGCGACUAUAGAACACAAAAAAACUUCUACGAUAUAAGGCCAACCCCGUCUAAGGCCAACACGCCAAAAACAACACUAAACUAACUGACCCAGUACAACUGACCAACGAACCAAGCUACCCCAGGGAUAACAGCGCCAUCCUCUUCUAGAGCCCCUAUCGCCAAGAGGGUUUACGACCUCGAUGUUGGAUCAGGACACCCCGGUGGUGUAGCCGCUACCAAAGGUUCGUUUGUUCAACGAUUAAAGUCCUACGUGAUCUGAGUUCAGACCGGAGCAAUCCAGGUCGGUUUCUAUCUAUGCCACCAUUUCUUCAGUACGAAAGGAUCAAGAAAAACGUACCCAUACCCGACAGCAUGUACGAAACCCCCCCCCUAUUGAAAUUAACUUAAAAAGCGGAUAAAAAAGACCCGCUCAAAAUAAGAGCCUU
rnacentral:rRNA from 1 species